AACGGCCGCGGUAUUUUGACCGUGCAAAGGUAGCGCAAUCAAUUGUCUUUUAAAUGAAGACCCGUAUGAAUGGCACAACGAGGGCUUAACUGUCUCCUUUUUCCAGUCAAUGAAAUUGAUCUUCCCGUGCAGAAGCGGGAAUUUUUACAUAAGACGAGAAGACCCUAUGGAGCUUAUAAACACAAGAACAGAUCAUGUCACUAACCCUAGUAUUGCUAGAAGAUAAACUAAAUGACUUCCUGCUCUCAUGUUUUUGGUUGGGGCGACCAUGGAGUAAAAUCAAACCUCCACGUAGAACGAAAAUAUAUUAUUUUCCGAUUCAAGAAAAACAACUCUAAAAACCAGAAUCUCUGACUUUUAUUGAUCCGGCAAAGCCGAUUAACGAACCGAGUUACCCUAGGGAUAACAGCGCAAUCCUCUUUUAGAGUUCCUAUCGACAAGGGGGUUUACGACCUCGAUGUUGGACCAGGACAUCCUAAU
rnacentral:rRNA from 1 species